rnacentral:rRNA from 1 species
UACGUAGGGGGCUAGCGUUGUCCGGAAUUACUGGGCGUAAAGCGUGCGCAGGCGGCGCGUUAAGACAGGUGUGAAAGCCCCGAGCUUAACUUGGGAAUUGCGCUUGUGACUGGCGUGCUGGAGUGUGGCAGAGGGAGGUGGAAUUCCACGUGUAGCAGUGAAAUGCGUAGAGAUGUGGAGGAACACCGAUGGCGAAGGCAGCCUCCUGGGCCAGCACUGACGCUCAUGCACGAAAGCGUGGGGAGCAAACAGG